GGGCCCGGCACGUUACGCCGGUGGAGGAAGCCGCGGGAUGCCCCCCCCAGGCCACCCGAGAGAACGCGUCAUUCAGGGCUCUCCCUGGCCUCCGAGGGGCCUGUUCGUGGGACCCUAGGAUCGGUGCCCGCCCUGGCGCUGCGGUUCACCUGAGCCCAACACUGCUGAAUAGCAGGACUGACUCUGGGCGCCAGCCCCCUCCAUCCAGCGCCCUGUUGAACAUGUCUUGCGUUCUCCACGGGUGGCUCACACUCGCGUGUCAACCCGCAGUCAUCACCGUCCCCCAAAAGGUGCUCCUAACCUCCAUCUAGGGCAUGCGCCACCAGGCAACCGAGCUUCCAAAUGGGAAAUUGGGCGGCGACCUCGGCCCCUACAUUUUCCUGGGCCCCUCGUCCAGUCUCCAAGUCCUAAGGAUCCUGUCAAACCAGUUCCUUCUGGCCGAGCGCAGUGGCUCACGCCUGUAAUCCCAGCACUUUGGGAGGCCGAGGCACGCGGAUCACCUGAGGUCAAGAGUUCGAGACCAGCCUGGCCAACAUGGUGAAACGCCGUCUUUACUAAAAAUACAAAAAUUAGCCGAGCGUGGUGGUGCGCGCCUCUAAUCCCAGCUACUCAGGAGACUGAAGCAGGAGAAUCGUUUGAACCCAGGAGGCAGAGCUUGCAGUAAGCUGAGAUCGCACCACUGCACUCCAGCCUGGGCGACAGAGGAAGACUCCAUCUCAAAACACCAUCAUUUCUUCUCUGGAUUUCUCUUUUUUUUUUUUUUUUUUGAGAGACGGAGUUUCUCUCUCUUGUUGCCCAGGCUGGCGGGCAAUGGCCCUCAGCUCACUGCAGACUCCCCGGGUUCAAGCAAUUCUCCUGCCUCAGCCUCCAAGUAGCUGGGAUUACAGGCGCCUACUAUCACGUCUGGCUAAUUUUUGUAUUUUUAGUAGAGAUGGGGUUUCGCCAUGUUGGGCAGGCUGGUCUCAAACUCUUGACCUCAGGUGAUGCGCCCACCUCAGCCUCCCAAAGUGCUGGGAUUACAGGCGUGAGCUACCACACCCUAGCUAGAUGCUCCUUUCUUGAGGAACCCUUUCUUGACAGGUGCCUCAGUUCCAUUCCAAGAACUAAUUUUGUGGAUUUCUUUUUUCUUGCAUAGCACCUUUUAAUCUUUGACCAGCUACAACUAUGUUCGUACAGUCUUGAAUCCUUAAAAAAGCUGUUGGGCUUGGCACAGUGACUCACAACCUAUAAUCUCAGCAGAUGGGGUUGUCGAGGCUGAGGCUUGAGCCCAGGAGUUGGAGAUCAGCCUGGGCAACAUAGGGAGACCCCAUUUCUACAAAAAUUAGCAGGGCAUGGUGGUGCGCAUCUGUAGUCCCAGCUACUCGGGAGGCUGAAGUUGGAGGAUUGCUUGAGCCCAGGAGGUGGGGAGGUACGGUUUUAUGCUCCUUAAGAUGGACAUCAUCAGAGAGACAAUAACAAAUGUUGACGAGGAUAUGGCUAGAUGGGAACUCUCAUAUUAAUACAUUGCUUGGGCCAGGCGUCGUGGCUCAAGCCUGUUAUAUCAGCACUUUGGAAGGCCAAGGCAGGCAGAUCACGAGGUCAAGAGUUUGAGACCAGCCUGGCCAACAUGGUGAAACCCCGUCUCUACUAAAAAUACAAAAAUUAGCUGGGCAUAGUGGCGCACGCCUGUAAUCCCAGCUACUUGGGAACUUGGGAGACUGAGGUAGG
rnacentral:lncRNA from 10 species